UACGUAGGAUCCAAGCGUUAUCCGGAAUUACUGGGCGUAAAGAGUUGCGUAGGUGGCAAGGUAAGCGAAUAGUGAAAGCGUGUGGCUCAACCAUAUAUCCAUUAUUCGAACUGCUUCGCUAGAGAACGAGAGAGGUAGAUGGAAUUCCUGAUGUAGGGGUGAUAUCCGUAGAUAUCAGGAGGAACACCGAUGGCGUAAGCAGUCUACUGGCUCGUUUCUGACACUAAGGCACGAAAGCGUGGGUAGCAAACAGG
rnacentral:rRNA from 1 species